AGAGUUUGAUCCUGGCUCAGGAUGAACGCUAGCGGGAGGCCUAACACAUGCAAGCCGAGCGGUAGAGAUUCUUCGGAAUCUUGAGAGCGGCGUACGGGUGCGGAACUACGUGUGCAACCUACCUUUAUCUGGAGGAUAGCCUUUCGAAAGGAAGAUUAAUACUCCAUAAUAUAUUGAUUGGCAUCAAUUGAUAUUGAAAGCUCCGGCGGAUAGAGAUGGGCACGCGCAAGAUUAGUAGUUGGUGAGGUAACGGCUCACCAAGACGAUGAUCUUAGGGGCCUGAGAGGGUGAUCCCCCACACUGGUACUGAGACACGGACCAGACUCCUACGGGAGGCAGCAGUGAGGAAUAUUGGUCAAUGGGUGCAAGCCUGAACCAGCCAUCCCGCGUGAAGGACGACUGCCCUAUGGGUUGUAAACUUCUUUUGUAUAGGGAUAAACCUACCCUCGUGAGGGUAGCUGAAGGUACUAUACGAAUAAGCACCGGCUAACUCCGUG
rnacentral:rRNA from 1 species